rnacentral:miRNA from 1 species
GUUUUGUUUUGGUUUGUAUU